UACGUAGGGGGCAAGCGUUGUCCGGAAUCAUUGGGCGUAAAGAGCGUGUAGGCGGCCAGAUAAGUCCGCUGUGAAAUCUCGAGGCUCAACUUCGAGCUGUCGGUGGAAACUGUCUGGCUAGAGUCCGGAAGAGGAGAAUGGAAUUCCUGGUGUAGCGGUGAAAUGCGCAGAUAUCAGGAAGAACACCCGUGGCGAAGGCAGCUCGCUGGGACGGUACUGACGCUGAGACGCGAAAGCGUGGGGAGCAAACGGG
rnacentral:rRNA from 1 species